AUGGAUUUUAGUCCUUCCAUUUUAUGUUGGAAUGUGAGAGGUUUGAACAGCGGUGCGAAGCGGGAUGCGACUCGAGAGUUUGUCACUAGUGUGCGUGCGAACAUUGUAUGUCUUCAAGAGACAAAACUGGAUGUAAUUGACCGCUUUACGGUAAUACAAUGCCUUGGGCCAUCCUUUGAUGGCUUCGCCUACUUGCCGGCGUUGGAGACUAGAGGAGGUAUUCUCGUAGCCUGGGACUCUUCAGCG
rnacentral:rRNA from 1 species